CCUGGGUAACCCAAACUCUGGGCCGGAUAAACAAGCAGUUCUUUCUGAGGAUCACUCCCCAACCUGUACCUGCUUUCCUUUUAAUAAAUUCCUUGUAUAACUUCAGACUUUUGUCUGAGUUUCUUUCUUGUUGAAGACCCAAGCGGGGUGGGCUUGGGGGGCAUUCGACAUUUAACAGCCAUACUUUGAGGCCUAUACUAAUCUGGUCAGAGGAACUUAAAGGACUUUUUUUUUCUCCUUGCCCUGCAAGGUCAACUAAGUUCCAGGGGACUAUGGAACAUCUCUCAAACUGUGGUGAGUCACCUGUCCUCUUGUUCAGGGAGGCCAUGGAGACCCUGAGAGAUGGACUUGAACCAGUGUCCAGUCUACAGAGAGGAGAGUCAACACAGAGAAAACAUUUCCUCUGCACUUCCAAGUGAAACCAGCCAAGAAACCUUUGAGAGGGACCUGACACUGAUUCUAGCUACUCCAACAGCUAACAAAGUGCCUGAAAACAAAUCCCGAGUCCAUCACUCUCAAGUUCAGCCUUGGCAGAGAGAAGAAAAAUGAGGAGGAACCCAAUGGAGGGAUGCUUUUGGAAGCUCUUGUCAAGAAAUUCCAAUGGAGUCUGAUAUGAACAUUUGAAAUUUGCCCUGUUUUGACCUUUUUCUGGUUCCCUGUCUAGAACUUGUAAUGCUAACUACCCUUGCCUGUACUUCUUCACAUUCCCUAUUCACUGGUCAAGGACUUUCUUUUCUCUCUACAGUUAAGAGUUAUGCAAUUUGGGUCUUUUAGAUAGACCCACUGAAGGGGUACCCCAGUUGUCUCACCCUGUGUCCCUGCUCAGCAUGGAAGAAGCCAGAGUAGUCUGUGUCCUGAUUCUAUUGGCAAUUUGGGUAACCUUUUCAAGGGAUGGUGUGAUAAGAAUAGGAGGUAGGAAUUGGCUAGGCAGUUAGGGUAAAAAGACCCCAAAGAAAAGUAGCCAGUUUCUUGGCUAAAAUUUAAAAUGUCCUUGGGACUCUUAGCAACAUACUCUGUUCCAAAGACAAAAAAAAUGUCAAAAGCAUUUGGGAGCUCUUAUCUAAUCUCUAAAAGAGUUUAGGGUUACCCCUCCAGAAGAAGGAAUGUUAGAGUAGCAAAAAGCCCCAUUAGAAAAAAGAAAGACAAAGUUGUCAGGAAAAAGUGAUGGGGACAUAUGGGAAGAGUUGGAGCAGAGUCAGUGGGCAUGGAUUUGAUCAAAACACCUUAUAUGCAUGUAUAAAUUCUCAAUAAUUUUUUAAAAAAAGAUCCACCUGCCUCUUCCUCCUAAGUGCUGGGAUUAAAGGCAUGGGCCACCACACCUGGUUUCGAAACACAACUAUUUUUCAACAUUAAUAGUGAAGGAGAAAUCUUAGGCCCUGAUCAUUAUAUGGCAUUCCUCUGCACCUCUCACUUGGUAUUACAAUGUUCCUCGCAUGGUUGCACGAUCAGUUUUCCCUUUCUGGUGACUUUUUUUGAAGGCUGUGUCUCACACCUCACCCCUCCCCACCCCCAGACUGACCUUUCUGAUAUAACUCAAUCCCAAUUACUGGACCCGAGUCCUGCAUGACUGACUCUCCCCACAAUGGGAAAACUGAAAGGCAAAACUAACUCCAUUUUGUUGUAGCCGACUUUUGCUUUAUCUUGUGUUUUUGUCAUCCAUUUCCACUGUAGCCAGCCAGGCAGAAUGUCUCAUGCAGGUAGUUUCAGGGAAUACAUUGUUUCUAAAAUACUGGGAAACUUACAAGCAGCCAGGUAGCAUGUCCAGGUAACAUGUUCAUCCACCCAGCCUAACAGAAGCUUUUUCUUAACUGAAAAUGCCUUUGUUAAUUGACUUACCCCUAGUCUGGUGUAACUAUGGUGAUCUGAUGUAAUUAUGGCUAUUGGCUUUGCCCUGGCAAGAUACAAUUGUGGUUUUAAACUUUAUAAACCCUUCUCUGCUUCUCCUCAAGGUUGAGAGGCCUUUGGGGGUGUUAUCCCCCUCUCUGAUUGCUGGCUAUUAAUAAAGAACUAAUUCAACUGUCAC
ensembl:lincRNA